GGCGAUCAGAUACCGCCCUAGUUCUGACCGUAAACGAUGCCAACUAGCGAUCCGCCAGUCGACUCAUCGCUCUGGUGGGGAGCUUCCCGGAAACGAAAGUCUUCCGGUUCCGGGGGAAGUAUGGUUGCAAAGCUGAAACUUAAAGGAAUUGACGGAAGGGCACCACCAGGAGUGGAUCCUGCGGCUUAAUUUGACUCAACACGGGGAAACUCACCCGGCCCGGACACCGUGAGGAUUGACAGAUUGAUAGCUUUUUCAUGAUUCGGUGGAUGGUGGUGCAUGGCCGUUCUUAGUUCGUGGAGCGAUUUGUCUGGUUUAUUCCGAUAACGAGCGAGACUCUGGCCUACUAAAUAGUUGACGCAUUGCCACUGUGCGCACAACUUCUUAGAGGGAUUUUCGGUGUUUUCAACCGCACGAAAUUGAGCAAUAACAGGUCUGUGAUGCCCUUAGAUGUCCGGGGCUGCACGCGCGCUACACUGGCAAACGCAACGUGCCUGUCCUGCCCCGAAAGGAGCGGGUAAACCCCUGAAAUUUUGCCGUGAUUGGGAUCGGACAUUGCAACUAUUGUCCGUGAACGAGGAAUUCCUUGUAGGGGCGAGUCAUCAACUCGUCCCGAAUACGUCCCUGCCCUUUGUA
rnacentral:rRNA from 1 species